GAAGUGUAUAUCAUUGUUGUUGCGGUUAAAAAGCUCGUAGUUGGAUCUGCGCCUUAGAGUUCGGUCCUCCCAAUGGGAGUGUACUGAUACUCGGGGCUAACUAGCUGGUUUUCUCCUGGUGCUCUUGAUUGAGUGCCUUGAGUGACUAGCAGGUUUACUUUGAAAAAAUUAGAGUGCUCAAAACAGGCGUUCGCCUGAAUACUGGUGCAUGGAAUAAUGGAAUAGGACCUUGGUUCUAUUUUGUUGGUUUUCGGAACACGAGGUAAUGAUUAAGAGGGACAGACGGGGGCAUUCGUAUUGCAGCGUUAGAGGUGAAAUUCUUGGACCGCUGCAAGACGAACAACUG
rnacentral:rRNA from 1 species